rnacentral:rRNA from 1 species
UAUUCCAGCUCCAAUAGCGUAUAUUAARGUUGYUGCAGYUAAAAAGCUCGUAGUUGGAUUUGUGGCAGUCGCAUGCGGCCCGGCAUUCGUGUCGGUGUUUGCUCGCGUCGCCAUCCUUGGGUGGAACCUGUGUGGCAUUAGGUUGUCGUGCAGGGGAUGCCCAUCAUUUACUGUGAAAAAAUUAGAGUGUUCAAAGCAGGCUUAUGCCGUUGAAUAUAUUAGCAUGGAAUAAUAAGAUAGGACCUUGGUACUAUUUUGUUGGUUUGCGCACCAAGGUAAUGAUUAAUAGGGACAGUUGGGGGUAUUCGUAUUCCAUUGUCAGAGGUGAAAUUCUUGGAUUUCUGGAAGACGAACUACUGCGAAAGCAUUUACCAAGGAUGUUUUCAUUAAUCAAGAACGAAAGWUAGRRKRUCGAAGAUGAUUAGAUACAUCGUAGUCA